rnacentral:rRNA from 1 species
UACGGAGGGUGCAAGCGUUAUCCGGAUUCACUGGGUUUAAAGGGUGCGUAGGCGGGUAAGUAAGUCCGUGGUGAAAUCUCUGAGCUUAACUCAGAAACUGCCGUGGAUACUAUUUGCCUUGAAUAUUGUGGAGGUGAGCGGAAUAUGUCAUGUAGCGGUGAAAUGCUUAGAUAUGACAUAGAACACCAAUUGCGAAGGCAGCUCACUACACAAUUAUUGACGCUGAGGCACGAAAGCGUGGGGAUCAAACGGG